UAUCUCUGUAGAGUCUGCAUAUCAAUAAGCGGAGGAAAAGAAACUAACAAGGAUUCCCUAGUAACGGCGAGUGAAGCGGGAAGAGCUCAAAUUUGAAAUCUUCAAGGUUUUACCUUGACGAAUUGUAGUUUAAAGAAGUGUUUUCUGUUAGAGAGUAUGGUAAAAGUUCUUUGGAAUAGGACAUCAUAGAGGGUGAGAAUCCCGUAUUUGACAUAUUCUUUCUAGCUGUGUGAUACACUUUCAAAGAGUCGGAUUGUUUGGGAAUGCAGUCCAAAAUGGGUGGUAAAUUUCAUCUAAAGCUAAAUAUUGGCGAGAGACCGAUAGCGAACAAGUACCGUGAGGGAAAGAUGAAAAGAACUUUGAAAGGAGAGUUAAACAGUACGUGAAAUUGUCAAAAGGGAAGCGUUUGACACCAGUGUUGUUUUUCCGAAAAUCAAUUAAAAAUUGAUUCAUGCCAGGUUGUACUGACCUUAUCAGCUUGCAAUUUGGUUUUGGGUCUCUUUUUGAUGCACUUUUCGGUUAACAAGUCAACAUCAAUUUCCUUUGCUGUAAAAAGGUAAGAGGAAGGUGGCUUCAAUUUCGGUUGAAGUGUUUAUAGCCUUUUAUCUCUGCAGUCGGGGAGAUUGAGGUCUGCAGCGUAGAUCCUUCGGGGCUAGAUACAUUUAUGACUAAGUUAUAGCUUUUCAUAGACAACUUGUUGACUAUGUUUAGUCAUGUAGCUUACUCGUAAGUGCUAUUUUACCUACGCUUAGGAUGUUGAAGACUCUACAGAGAUA
rnacentral:rRNA from 1 species